AUUAUUUGCAUUACCUGUAUUUACUUCAUAAUUGAACAUUUUGCAUUCAAAUUUAUGUAAUGCAUUAUGCUUGAGAAUAUAUUUCUGCCUGAUUAGCAUAAAUAGUCACUUACCUCAUGAAUUACUAACAAAGUUUAUCUUAAAAUAUAGGUUUUUUUAUUAAGUGGAACGCAAACAUAUGUACAAUAAAUUCUGAUUUUCCGGUGCGGUUAGAGAACAACUAACAUUUGCUUACCGGGAGGAGGAAGCAAAAUAGAGACAAAUGAGGGGUGGAGGUUUCUUUCCCAGGGUCUCCUUUAGAUGGGGGGGGGGGGUGAGCCUGGCGGGGGCGGGAGGAGAAGCCGAGGGGAGGAGGCAGCCCUGGGCUCCUCAUGUAUUGUUUGCAUUAUUUUUUGGGUGCUCUCAACAUGAAAUGUGGGCCCCAUCAUCAGUGGUCUCUCCCUUAGUGACAGCAGGUCAAUAGCAUGGACAGAGUUUGGGGGGUUUGUUGAUUUUAUCUUGAUUUCAUGUGUGUUUUGUUUUUUUUGUUUGUUUGUUUUGUUUUUGGUCUCCUUUUGUCUGCAGCGUUCUUCCCAGGCUGUGUCAUGAAAUACGUGUUUGUUUUACACACAGAGACGUGGAAGAUCCAGCGUUUAUCCCUUCAGUGAUUUCUACUGUGGUGAGUUCAAAACUGACUUUAAAACAAAACAGGAUUGGAACAAGGGACGAGUGCAGGCUGUAACUUCCUGCUCGCUGACGAGAGGACAGAUUCAUGGACGACGGUCCCUUUGCCAUUGUGGGCGUGGCCAGGCUUUGGCAGGCAUUGUUCUGUGCACUACAAACACCAAACGUGCCCAGGGACGCCCUCCCAGCACCGUGUCCAUUGCGACAGAAUGUUCCAGAUCCUAUGGAGAACAGAAAUCGGGCUGAACACCUCUACCACCCACAAUAAAAGUUAAAGGGACAGAAUGGA